GUGCCAGCAGCCGCGGUAAUACAUAGGGGUCAAGCGUUGUCCGGAUUUAUUGGGCGUAAAGAGCUCGUAGGCGGUUCAACAAGUCGGCCGUGAAAGUUCAGGGCUCAACCCUGAAAUGUCGAUCGAUACUGUUGUGACUAGGAUACGGUAGAGGUGAGUGGAAUUCCGAGUGUAGCGGUGAAAUGCGUAGAUAUUCGGAGGAACACCAAUUGCGAAGGCAGCUCACUGGGCCGCUAUCGACGCUGAGGAGCGAAAGCUAGGGGAGCGAACAGGAUUAGAUA
rnacentral:rRNA from 1 species